rnacentral:tRNA from 2 species
CGGGAUGUAGCGCAGCUUGGUAGCGCGUACGGUUCGGGACCGUAAGGCCGCAGGUUCGAAUCCUGUCAUCCCGACCA